rnacentral:lncRNA from 1 species
CAGAAUCUGAGCUUAGUGAAAAACCACCUGUUCUUCCCGGUUUUGAACCUUUCCUCGAACCUCUUCUUGGUCUCUUUGGCGGCGGUGACCUUUUUGUCCUUUGACUGCAACGAAUCGACAGUGACAACAUCUUUAAGAUCGACAUCGAGAGUGUACCUAGUGGGCAUCAGAUGCCUAUAAUUAACGAGCUUAAUGAAGGCCUUGACACGGGAUUUUUUAGCGGUCUUCUUGGCGGAGUCCUUGCGGAUAACCUUGGCCGGGUACUUCUUGAUUCCAGCGACUAAGCAGUGGCCAUAAGCGCGAUCCCGAGUUCCAUCGUCGAAGGCGCGAAUGAUGACCGCCUUCCGGCCGGCGUAACGGCC